AACAGUAAGAGCUUCAACAUUCACCGUCCUGAUGGUUAAGGCCACUUAUGCUCUUUGAGUCGUUGGUGAGACUGAGCUCUGAGCAAAGGAGAGACAAUGGGCUGGGGCUGCCUACUCAUUUGGAAGCCAAUUAAAUGAAAAGUCUUAGAGGGUACUGACGCUGCUGGUUUGAGGACUACUGUGAGUAAAUCCAGAUAUGCUGCCCUUGGUGAAGGGAGAAAAAGGGACAAGUUUGGAUGUGAGAUGAAGCUUUCCGAUGAGGCAGACUUUGAUUCUGAGAUAGAUGAGAGACAUUCGCAUGAGAUGGCGGCAGGCGACUGCACAUACAGGUGAGGGAGGAAGCUACUGGGCUCCUGGCUGCAGAUUUGGAAUCCCACCAGGAGUUAACUCUUUGGAAACUGCCCCCUGCACAGCCCCAGAACAACAGAGAUAAAGUUCCAGCAGCGACUUCUUCACAAACCACAAAGCCUGAUAGUAUUGCUUCUCGGCACCUUUCAACUUUUUACUCAUCCCUGUCUGCCCUGGCCACAGUCUUAAUGCAUCAGAAGAAGCCUGCCACCUCUACCUUCUUCUGUACCUCAGAAACCAGAGGUCAAGCAGUGUUUCCCAAAAAGGAGGCACUUCCUAUCACUGUUGGGCACCAAGAUGCCUUCAGAGAAUGUAAAGAUGGGAACUCUUCAACAUGGGUCUAAAGAAAACCCACAGCAACUGGACCUGUGCAUCACAGAGUGAAACGGAGUGCAAAUGAGCCACUAUCUGAAGCAGCAGGACAUCUGAGCAGGCCAAAUGCUCUUGGUGAAGCGGACAUCUAGUGCGGUGACUGCACACAGCUCCCUGAAUCAAUGCAUCUGCAGCGUGAGUGGUAAUCUUCCAGACCAUGGAUUAGUUGGCCAUUUGUUGCUUGCUCCGCAGGGUUGCUCCUCUCAGCAGUCAGUGGGUCUGUCCCAGGUGAUGAAUGGGGUUAGAAUCUCCAGGCAGAGAGAGCCAUUCUCCUGCCCUUCCCUGCAGAAGUGUUAGUGUUCCCAACGCAGCUCUCAGGCAGUGCAGCGUCUGAAGACAAGGUAAGGGAUGAAUGUCAGCACAGCUAAGACUACCCUGACCUCUCAUGGUGAGUGAACAUCGAUCACAGGGGCAGAGGGGCAUGAACUGCUUCCUGGUGAAUGAAAUAUAUAUAUAUAUCUUCCUAAAACAUGCUAAAGGAUAUUUGUAAAAUGUAAGAAACUAGAAAGAAACGCAGUUCUUUGGCCGUACUGUUUGUUCAAUUUAUACUCUACAUUUAAAAAAUGUAACAUUAUAAAGUUGCUGUGGAAUCCAAAAUGUGUUAUUUAAAUUGUUAUUGAUGACUUUGUGGGGGACUUAUGCCACAACUUUACCUACGUUAGGGUACCUUUUGAAUCUUUCUUCUUCUUUACUCUUUUAAGUAAGACACAAAUAUGUUUGUGCCUAAACUUUAAAGAAACAAAGAAAACCCCUCUAUCUAUACGUCUAACAUCUAUCAUCCAUCUAUCUACUUAUCUAUCACCUACCU